rnacentral:rRNA from 1 species
CAAUAGCGUAUAUUAAAGUUGUUGCAGUUAAAAAGCUCGUAGUUGAAUUUCUGGCGGGCGCGCCGGUCUUCCAAGUGUUGUACUGGGCGCAGUCCGCCAUCCUUGUGGAGAGGGCUCGCAUUGAGUUGCGUGUCGGAUCUGCAUCAUUUACUGUGAAAAAAUUAGAGUGUUUAAAGCAGGCUGUCGCUUGAAUACAUUAGCAUGGAAUAAUAAGAUAGGACUUCGGUCUAUUUUGUUGGUUGCGAACCGAGGUAAUGAUUAAUAGGGAUAGUUGGGGGUAUUCAUAUUUAAUUGUCAGAGGUGAAAUUCUUGGAUUUAUGAAAGAUGAACAACUGCGAAAGCAUUUGCCAAGGAUGUUUUCAUUGA